rnacentral:rRNA from 1 species
UACGGGGGGGGUAAGCGUUGUUCGGAAUUACUGGGCGUAAAGGGCUCGUAGGCGGCCAACUAAGUCAGACGUGAAAUCCCUCAGCUUAACUGGGGAACUGCGUCUGAUACUGGAUGGCUUGGAUCCGGGAGAGGGAUGCGGAAUUCCAGGUGUAGCGGUGAAAUGCGUAGAUAUCUGGAGGAACACCGGUGGCGAAGGCGGCAUCCUGGACCGGUAUUGACGCUGAGGCGCGAAAGCCAGGGGAGCAAACGGG